AUGCAAUAUAUUAACAUCAGGAGCAAUAAAAAGGAUGACUAUCAACGAAUAUUUACAAAACUAGAAAAUUUCCAUGGUAUAAAUACUUCGAGCAAUGAUAUCGUAUUUCGAUUAUCACUUAACGAAAAAAGUUCAACGAGGCGAACAUGGUGACGAUCGCUAAGAUGAGACGACAAAAGUUCCACCAGUUCGACGCAGUGGUUGAGUUUCUCGUUCAUCACCUAGCAACAAAUAUUUAUAGAUGAGAUAUUAGCACCGAUAUAUACUACUAUAUAUCAGUGGAUGUUUGGUACAGCAGAGUCUAAUUUACAAUAUAGGGUCGAUGGGAUCGAUGAAAUCCUAUCUAGCAGUACAAAGAACGAUUUAUAUAGAUGAAAAAACGACCUCAAUUAUGAGUUUAUGGAUGUACAUAUUUUAAGCUAUAUGCAGUAUGUUUACAAGAAUAGACAGCUUCAGAAAGUUA